AUCGCUUCUCGGCCUUUUGGCUAAGAUCAAGUGUAGUAUCUGUUCUUAUCAGUCAAUGUGAGGAGUGUGAAGUCGAGAGUUAGAGCCCAGAUUGUUUUAUCCUUUCUUAACUCUUUUAAGUCUGAUGUGUUUUUAAUACAGGAAUGCGGCCUACCAUUUUUAAAACACUACAGAGAAUGGGAGGAGUUAUG